ACUAGCGCGGUUGUCCCACCUGACCCCAUGCCGAACUCAGAAGUGAAACGCCGUAGCGCCGAUGGUAGUGUGGGGUCUCCCCAUGCGAGAGUAGGGAACUGCCAGGC
rnacentral:rRNA from 1 species